rnacentral:rRNA from 1 species
UACGUAGGGUGCAAGCGUUGUCCGGAAUUAUUGGGCGUAAAGAGCUCGUAGGCGGUUUGUCGCGUCUGCUGUGAAAUCCCGAGGCUCAACCUCGGGCUUGCAGUGGGUACGGGCAGACUAGAGUGCGGUAGGGGAGACUGGAAUUCCUGGUGUAGCGGUGGAAUGCGCAGAUAUCAGGAGGAACACCGAUGGCGAAGGCAGGUCUCUGGGCCGCAACUGACGCUGGAGGAGCGGAAAAGCCAUGGGGAGCGAACAGG